AAUGAACGCUGGCGGCGUGCCUAACACAUGCAAGUCGAACGAAAACACAAUGAGCUUUCUCCCCUGCCGUUAGCGGCGGACGGGCGAGUAACACGUGGAUAACCUACCUAUAAGACUGGGAUGAUAUCGGAGAAACACAUCUAAUACCAGCUAAUAUAUUGAACCGGAUGGAUCAAUAGUGCAAGACGGCUUUGCUGUCACUUAUAGACGGAUCCGCGCCGCAUUAGCUAGUUGGUAAGGUAACGGCUUACCAAGGCGACGAUGCGUAGCUGACCUGAGAGGGUGAUCAGCCACACUGGAACUGAGACACGGUCCAGACUCCUACGGGAGGCAGCAGUCGGGAAUAUUGCGCAAUGGGCGAAAGCCUGACGGAGCAACGCCGCGUGAGUGAUGAAGGUCUUCGGAUCGUAAAACUCUGUUGUUGGGAAAGAACAAAAGUGUAUGUAACUAUGCACGUCUUGACGGUACCUAAAGAAUAAGCACCGGCUAACUACGUG
rnacentral:rRNA from 1 species